rnacentral:rRNA from 1 species
UACAGAGGUCUCAAGCGUUGUUCGGAUUCAUUGGGCGUAAAGGGUGCGUAGGCGGCGCGGUAAGUCGGGUGUGAAAGCUCGGAGCUUAACUCCGAAACUGCAUUCGAUACUGCCGUGCUUGAGGACUGGAGAGGAGACUGGAAUUUACGGUGUAGCGGUGAAAUGCGUAGAUAUUCGCAAGAACACCAGUGGCGAAGGCGGCUCACUGGCCCGGUACUGACGCUGAGGUGCGAAAGCGUGGGGAGCAAACAGG